rnacentral:tRNA from 1 species
CCAAGAGAGUGGGCCUCGAUCCCACAAAAACUAAUUAACAGCUAGCUGCCCAAACCAGCGGGCUUCCAUCCUGCUUCUCCCGUCAAGGAAAAACGGGAGA